UACGUAGGGUGCAAGCGUUAAUCGGAAUUACUGGGCGUAAAGCGUGCGCAGGCGGUUUUGUAAGUCUGACGUGAAAUCCCCGGGCUCAACCUGGGAACUGCAUUUGUGACUGCAUCGCUGGAGUGCGGCAGAGGGGGAUGGAAUUCCGCGUGUAGCAGUGAAAUGCGUAGAUAUGCGGAGGAACACCGAUGGCGAAGGCAAUCCCCUGGGAUAACACUGACGCUCAUGCACGAAAGCGUGGGUAGCAAACAGG
rnacentral:rRNA from 1 species